rnacentral:lncRNA from 1 species
UUUCUUGAGGAGAUGUUAUAUGGGUUGCUGCCAUUUGGAGAAUAGAACAUCAGAUCGAUUUUGUUCCUGAAACUCAAAUUUCAAACCAUCCAGCUUACCGAAAUAAUUAUGAGGAAACGAAGGAAUUACAAAGGCAAGUUGAUGAGUUGCUAGAUUACGCUUCACGAUUGUUGUUCAUCGCCAGUCAAUUAUAAAUGUCGCGAGUUUACAGUGAUAUUGGGCCACAAUAUUGAGAGAUUGAGUGAAAUGAGGAGGAUGAAAUCAAUUUAUUAGGUUUAGGGAUUUUAAAGUCCCAUCUUCACGAAGGGGUUGCUUAAAUUUUAAACAAGGG